rnacentral:rRNA from 1 species
CGGGCGGUAACAGGGAUAAGCUUGCUUCUCUGCUGACGAGCGGCGGACGGGUGAGUAAUGUAUGGGGAUCUGCCUGAUGGAGGGGGAUAACUACUGGAAACGGUAUGCUAAUACCGCAUAAUGUCUUCGGACCAAAGCGGGGGACCUUCGGGCCUCGCGCCAUCAGAUGAACCCAUAUGGGAUUAGCUUGUAGGUGAGGUAACGGCUCACCUAGGCGACGAUCCCUAGCUGGUCUGAGAGGAUGAUCAGCCACACUGGGACUGAGACACGGCCCAGACUCCUACGGGAGGCAGCAGUGGGGAAUAUUGCACAGAUGGGCGCAAGCCUGAUGCAGCCAUAGCCGCGUGUAUGAAGAAAGGCCUUCGGGUUGUAAAGUACUUUCAGUCAGGAGGAAGGUGGUAAGGUUAAUAGACCUUAUCAAUUGACGUUACCGACAGAAGAAGCACCCGGCUAACUCCGUG